UUGCGAACGGGUGAGUAACGCGUAGGUAACCUGCCUUGUAGCGGGGGAUAACUAUUGGAAACGAUAGCUAAUACCGCAUAACAAUGAAUGACUCAUGUCAUUUAUUUGAAAGGGGCAAUUGCUCCACUACAAGAUGGACCUGCGUUGUAUUAGCUAGUAGGUGAGGUAACGGCUCACCUAGGCGACGAUACAUAGCCGACCUGAGAGGGUGAUCGGCCACACUGGGACUGAGACACGGCCCAGACUCCUACGGGAGGCAGCAGUAGGGAAUCUUCGGCAAUGGGGGCAACCCUGACCGAGCAACGCCGCGUGAGUGAAGAAGGUUUUCGGAUCGUAAAGCUCUGUUGUAAGUCAAGAACGAGUGUGAGAGUGGAAAGUUCACACCGUGACGGUAGCUUACCAGAAAGGGACGGCUAACUACGUGCCAGCAGCCGCGGUAAUACGUAGGUCCCGAGCGUUGUCCGGAUUUAUUGGGCGUAAAGCGAGCGCAGGCGGUUUGAUAAGUCUGAAGUUAAAGGCUGUGGCUCAACCAUAGUUCGCUUUGGAAACUGUCAAACUUGAGUGCAGAAGGGGAGAGUGGAAUUCCAUGUGUAGCGGUGAAAUGCGUAGAUAUAUGGAGGAA
rnacentral:rRNA from 1 species